GCCUCUAUAGCUCAGUUGGUAGAGCAGCUGAUUUGUAAUCAGCAGGUCGAGGGUUCGAGUCCCCCUGGAGGCU
rnacentral:tRNA from 2 species